ACAAACUGGGAUUAGAUACCCCACUAUGCUUAGCCGUAAACCGAGGUAGUUGAAUAACAAAACUAUUCGCCAGAGAACUACAAGCUACUGCUUAAAACUCAAAGGACUUGGCGGUGCCCUAGACCCUCCUAGAGGAGCCUGUUCUAUAAUCGAUAAACCCCGAUACACCUCACCUUUUCUAGCUAUCAGCCUAUAUACCGCCAUCGUCAGCUCACCCCAAUAGGGUAUCAAAGUGAGCAAGAUCAUUAAACCAUAAAAACGUUAGGUCAAGGUGUAGCAUAUGAAAAGGGAAGCAAUGGGCUACAUUUUCUAUAUUAGAAUAUCACGGAUUGUCUACUGAAAUAAAGACAUGAAGGAGGAUUUAGUAGUAAAUUAGGAAUAGAGAGCUUAAUUGAAAUAGGCAAUGGGGUGCGUACACACCGCCCGUCACCCUCCUCGAUAAAGUAGUACCCUAUACCUAAUAAGAAUACGCAAAAAAGAGGAGAAAAGUCGUAACAUGGUAAGUGUACUGGAAAGUGCACUUGGAUAAUC
rnacentral:rRNA from 1 species